rnacentral:rRNA from 1 species
CAGUAGCCGCGGUAAUACGAAGGGUGCAAGCGUUACUCGGAAUUACUGGGCGUAAAGCGUGCGUAGGCGGUUUGUUAAGUCUGCUGUGAAAUCCCCGGGCUCAACCUGGGAAUGGCAGUGGAUACUGGCAAGCUAGAGUGUGUCAGAGGAUGGUGGAAUUCCCGGUGUAGCGGUGAAAUGCGUAGAGAUCGGGAGGAACAUCAGUGGCGAAGGCGGCCAUCUGGGACAACACUGACGCUGAGGCACGAAAGCGUGGGGAACAAACAGGAUUAGAUACCCCGUAGUCCCUGUCUCUUAUACA